AGAGGGGGCAAGCGUUAUUCGGAAUUAUUGGGCGUAAAGGGCGCGUAGGCGGCCUGGCAAGUGACGGGUGAAAGCCCUCGGCUUAACCGAGGAACUGCCUGUCAGACUGUUAGGCUUGAGACCGGGAGAGGUGAGUGGAAUUCCCAGUGUAGCGGUGAAAUGCGUAGAUAUUGGGAGGAACACCAGUGGCGAAGGCGGCUCACUGGACCGGUACUGACGCUGAGGCGCGAAAGCGUGGGGAGCAAACAGGAUUAGAUACCCUGGUAGUCCACGCCGUAAACGAUGAGUGCUUGGUGUAGCGGGUAUCGACCCCUGCUGUGCCGAAGUCAACACAUUAAGCACUCCGCCUGGGGAGUACGGUCGCAAGACUG
rnacentral:rRNA from 1 species